rnacentral:misc_RNA from 1 species
GCAGCCAUCAAUUCCUUGAAAACAUUCUGAAGCUUGGAAUCUCCAAUUGUAGGCAUACUAACUACAUCAACACUAAAAAAUCUAGCGUGCCCUACACCAGAUAGAUACCCACAAUCAGAAGAAACUCUCUGUGGAGAAUCUGAGAAAGAAGAACGAUGGGAAGACAGAUAGAAGAGACUUCGGGCAGCCUGAUGAUUACUUUGCAGUAAAUUCCGGUGAGUGACUCCGGCGAUGGCGUAAGAUCUGGCGCGAACAGAACGCAAUAGUGAUCUAAGAAUCACCAUUUUCU